UCUAAGAAAAAUGGGGUUUAUUGGCUAAUGUUACUGAAAAUUCAGAUGCAUAGCUGGAUAGUGGGCCUCAGAACGGUGUCUUAAGGACCCAGCGUCUCGCCAGCUCUCCAGCUAGCUCUUGCCUACCUUCACAGGUUGCACGUGUAUGGCGAAACAGCAAUUGCAGUCCCGGACACCUUCUGCCAAGGUCUGGGAACAUAGAGGGAAGAAAAAAAGAGUGCAUCUCUCUCAGAAGUCCCAUGCACCCCAGCUUGCACCUUGGCAGUUCUGACAAGGUCUGGGCCUCCUUCUCUCGCUCAUCUAGACCAGGCGUCUCUGACACUCCCCCUGGGCUGGCCUGACCCCCAUGUUGAGCCUGGAAUGGAGACUGGGAGUGCCAUCUGGGAUGGGGGUGGGGACAGAGGGGAAGGAAACUUGAAGUCAAGUCAGGGGAUUGUUACCAGGUGAUGAGAUGUCCCUAGCUUUUCCAGCACAGCAUCCCUAGUCAGCGCCACAUGCCUUACAGGUAUGUGCUCUAUGAUUCUGCAUUGUAUGUGUGAUUGUAGACUAUUUGAAUGGAAAAUAAUAUUUGGCAGCAAGGUACCAUCUCAUUUCUUACCUUAUAGGCAAUUUAAUUUUUUAUGCAUUUAUGAGGACUUUUUCACUCUCAGCAGGAGUAACUAAUGGAGUUCACAAAGCAUUUAAAUGGCCUACCUCCUGCACUGAAGGCUGCUCUGGAUAGCACGGAACUGCACUCAACCUGAUUAGGACUCCCACGGAGGUGCAGCCUUCCAGAUGCAACUCGAUUUCAUUUUUGCACGGCGCCUUUCCAGCUGAAGGCUUCAAGUUUGACAGCUUUAGAAAAUACUGGAUUAUGGUAACACCAUCUAUGUAGGACAUGAUUUCCCCAGAAGCUCAGAGAUUCGAGCACACUCGACAGCCUUGGUGUUAUAUUAAAUACAGUCUCCUGGGAAACAUCCGGCUGAAGGGCUUGACUGGAAGAAUUACCAAACCUCAUCCUUGUGCCUUCUGGCUGGGAUCCUUCUUUGCUGUAUGAACUGAGUAGACUCAGUAGAGAAACCAACAAGCUCCCUCCUCAAAAGCAUCCGGGAUCCUCUGAAGGAGCCAUCAUAUAGCGAUGAGUAGGUCUCGGAACAGAUUUUUCCUGAGUGACUGGAUCCCCUGGGAGGCCACUCAGUUGCUUUAACAUGUGUUAAUGAGACUGGUGAUCCCCUCCCGAGCCAGCUACUCAUUUAUAGGACUCCAUCUAGUUCCUCAAAGUACUUAACAUACCUGUUUGGGUCAGGUACCUACGUAGAGAAAAGCUGCUUUCAUGAUCACGAGCACUUGGGUGCUGCCACAAAUCGGCACGGGUAUCCGGUGGUGGGUAAACAGCUCCAUGCAAAAAUAUGCCUCUAGCUCCCUUGCUCAAAGUAACUGGGCACAGAGGCCAAGAGAUUCAUUCAUUCGUGUAAAGAACAGUUCCUUAUUUUUCCCCUGAGAGGCAAAACCACCACAAUAAGUCCUACUAUAUGUAGAAAACAAAUUUAUUUUUAAAAAAAGAAAAAAAACAAAUUCCUGAGUCAACAGAUUCCAAGUGCCUGGAUGCUGUCCAAAUGAACCUGGCAGUAACACAGGCAUGGAUGAAAACAGUGUCUUAGGAGUCUGCCUUCUCUGGUCCUCCUGAGUAUUUUUAUUCUUUGUAUUGGGAGAUAAAAAUAGGGGUUGACAUCUCAAGGUGAGAGGAGAGAGAGAGAGAGAGCAGCAUGUGUUCUUCAAAAGACCCAACAAGAUAAUAGAUUUUUUAAAAAGCUGUUGCUGAGUGUAACGUACUUAGUUUCAAAGGGCUUUUUUUUUUUUUUUAAAUAAAAUCUUUGCAAGCAAUAGUAAAGAAAUCUGGAACCCCCCAGGGUGACCAAAGUUAGAAUCCUAUCAGGGAUUUAAAUCUAAUUACUAGCCUGAAAGUAAAGAAGAGAGAGAACGGGCCAAGUGUCAGCCUGGAAAACAAUAAUAGCCAUGACAGUGUUCAGCAGCCCAGUCAUUAGUGCCUUGAAGGAUAGUUCAGCACAUUUAUUCUUACUCUUGAAAGAGAGCCACAGAGGUUUCUGGUUUCCUGUUCGUAGUUUCUUCUGUGGAGUAGCGAGGUUUCCUCUGCUUCUACACACCGUGCCAUCCAAGCACCUGGUAGAACAGGCACUUAGAGGAGAGGCCAUGUGCAGAGUCAGAGCACCCUGCACUUCACCAGCUGUGUGGCCCCGUGCAAGGGAACUCACUUGUCAGUGCCUAUGUGUCUUCAUCUGCAAGAUAAAAAUGAAACGUGAAGAUUGAAAUAGAUCACGUAUGGGAAGUACUCAGCACAGCACCCGACCCACCGGGAGUCCCCAGGAACUGUAAACUAUUUCUUUUUCCUCUUCUUAUUAAACACUGGCCAAGGAGGAAUUCCCCAUCCUGGAAUGCAAAGAUGGAAGAGGAGGAUCCCGUCCCUAUAGCACAGGGAGGGUCUUUGGAGCCCUACUCCUGCCACUUUUACUCAGCUCAUCCAUUUAUGCAUUCGUGUCAGUGGCUGAUUCUCAAGACUUCUCGAAAUGUGUUAAGAGCAGGCCCUCCAAUCACUCUAGAUAGAAGACUUAGAUUAAGAACUUAGAGCUGCCUUUAGGCUAAUAAACCAGCAGAAACUAAAUCCAAGUAUAUAGGAGAGAAUAUGAAUGUUGAAAAUAUUGAGUCCUGGUAAAUAUUAUUUGACAAAUGCAAGGAUUGCAGUCGGGGGAUUUUGAUAAGGCUUAGGUUAUACUGUAAUCAGCCCAUUCUCUAAAAUGAUGAGAGUCUUCGCUCCAUUCUGGGUGGCUGUAGAAAGCAAAAAAGGCAGCUGGAGACAUGCUGUGAAUUGGAAGUAGCUUCUAUUUGCUUCUUCUCCGCCUACUCAUAUGGCCAUGGAUGAUGCCCAGUUCAAGGGGGAAUCAGACGCCAAGUGAGGCUGCACGGCCUGUCCUUUGAGCAGAGUGUGGAAACUUGCUUGAGACAGUGCUUGGUUAAAGGCCCCAGAUACAUCUGAAGACCUGGUUUUCUAUUAAGCCUUGAAUGCUUACAGUAUUAUACACUCUCCAUAGAGAGCGAAUCUGAGCUGUCCUAUGUCAAUGUUUUAGUUCCUGACUCCUAACUUGGCAAGAGAUGUGUGGUGAAUCAAUAUGUCACAGUCUGUUAAAAGAUGCUUCGCUGUUUAUGUUUGUUGGGUGUUUAGAAAUGCAAUAACUAUACUGGCGUCUUUUCUUAGUCUGUCAUCUGUUUCCGAGGGAACAGAAAGUGAUGCAGAGGGCCGAUCACAGCACCAUAAUUACACCAAGAAGUGGGCGCUAGUAUCCUCCAUUAGGAACAUUGCUAUUCCAUGCUACCGGAUGAAGAACAUUUUAUAGACACCUCCCUCUCGUUUCUUCCUCCAAACCAAUCUCUCUCUUUGUUCCACCCAAAAUAAAAGUACAACGUGAAUUGUGCCACUAUCAAUGAAUUUUCGGUGGGAAGGAUGUUCUGAGCAGUGAAAAAUAUAAAUAAAUUGGUUCUAUGCUGAAAUUAAUUGUGGAACCAGGAAGAUAAACACAGCACAACUAAUUGUAUCCAAGCAAGAUUAAUAAGAAUGGUGUUCUAUGGAAAGGGAAAAAAAUCCACAGCAUUAAUGGAAAUUAAGCAAUAUCUCAGUGAAACUAGUAAAUUAAAAAAUAUAUAUAUAUAUAUAUAUAUAUAUAUAUAUAUGUUUAAUUAAAAGCAAGACACUCUAUUAUGUCUUCUUUCUUACUGAGCUGCUUAAAUUAAGAAAGUCUAAUGUUAAGUGAGAAAAAUCAACUCAGGACACCUUGUCAUCUGCAUUUAAUUGAGACUUCUGUGUCUCAUACCAACUUUUAAGACAGGUCAUGGCAAUGGUGAAUUUAGGAGUCUCAUGUGAACUUCCCACGAUGUGCAAUUUACAGGUUUCUGUAUCUCCAGUUUGGACAUAGAAAUAUCCCAGGAAUAUUGUGACUGUAAAGUCACUUCCCCUAUUUUUUCUCUGUGAUUUUGAUGAAAACAUACCAUAUCGGACGAAUUAAUAUAAGCAAAGCUUAUAUCUACAGCUAUAGCUAAAAUUAGAAGUAUGUUGCUUUCUGAUAAUAAAAGCUUUACAGAAAUGUUUUGCAUUUA